AGUACAACAUCUGAUGCUGCCCUGCCGGAGAGUACACCAUCUGCAUCCUCCGAGCAGGAGAGUAUAACAUUUUAUGCUGCCCUGCCAGACAUCCCACCAUCUGCAUCAUCUGUGCAGGAGGGUAUAACAUCUGACACUGCCCAGCCGGAGAG